rnacentral:lncRNA from 1 species
UUCCUGAAUACAGUCUCCAAGCAAAUCACUAUGGAAAAAUUUGUAUCUUAGCCUUGGAGGAAGAGGGAUGGCAGUUAUUCCCCCAUGAGAAAAAAUAUAAGAAAGCCCUUGUGAACUUAAUGCGAUAGCUGUUGAUUGCCUAAGGAAGAGAACAAAGCUGCAAGGGCUGCAUGAGAAGGUAGGAAGAAGUUGCUUCAACAGCACAACCCAUCUCUCUGUGACAAGCACUGGAUGGGCUGACUCAGUGAGGAUUGACAUUGGCCAAAUACCACAUCAGGUGCCAGAGAUGGGAAGAAAACAACAUGCAGAGAUAAUUUUGGAAGUAGAAAGGAAGAGGACACCACAAAGUGGGGACAUGAGAGAUACAAGUUACAGUUAGCAGAACAGGAAAUGAAGAUUCAUGUAUUAAGAAAAUUACUAAAGAGAAACUUAAGUAAGUAAGUUGUCUAAAAUUACAAUAAAGGAACUAAAAAUAAUGAGAACAUCCAUAUUGGGAGGGAGGAGGGUGUAAGUGAACUAAGUUCUCAUCUAUCAGAAUAGGAAGGAAGUCCACAGAUACAGCCUGUCUGUCUGAUAAAUAAAGAAGUGGUGAUAUGACUGUAUUAUUUAGAGAUAGGGAAGUAACCACCCAGAAGAAUUUUUUAAACUGUGGCUGUUAAAAAGUCAGACUUGGCCGGGUGUGGUGGCUCAUGCCUGUAAUCCAAGCACUUUGGAGGCCAAGGCGGGCAGAUCACCUGAAGUCGGGAAUUCAAGACCAGCCUGACCAACAUGGAGAAACCCCAUUUAAAAAAAAAAAAAAAAGUCAGACGUGGUCUAGGGUUUGAGUGGAAGACAA